AGUGAAAGAAACCGUUCCUCAUGUGCU
rnacentral:sRNA from 1 species